rnacentral:SRP_RNA from 1 species
GCUAGGUGUGGUGGCAUGCACCUGUAGUCCCAGCUACUCAGGAAGCUAAGGCUGGAGGAUCGCUUGAAUUCUGGGCUAUAGUAUGCUAUGCUGAGCAGGUGUCUACACUAAAUUCAGCAUCAAUAUGGUGACCUCCAGGGUAUGGGGGGCGCCAAUUUGCCUAAGGAGAUGUGAACCAGCGCAGGUCAGAAAGAGAGCAGGUCAAAACUUCUAUGCUGAUCAGUAGUGAGACCAUGCCUGUGAACAGCCACUGUACUCUAGCCUGGGCAACAUAGAUCAUGUCUCU